rnacentral:rRNA from 1 species
GAUGAACGCUGGCGGCGUGCCUAAUACAUGCAAGUCGAGCGAACGGACGAGAAGCUUGCUUCUCUGAUGUUAGCGGCGGACGGGUGAGUAACACGUGGAUAACCUACCUAUAAGACUGGGAUAACUUCGGGAAACCGGAGCUAAUACCGGAUAAUAUUUUGAACCGCAUGGUUCAAAAGUGAAAGACGGUCUUGCUGUCACUUAUAGAUGGAUCCGCGCUGCAUUAGCUAGUUGGUAGGGUAACGGCUUACCAAGGCAACGAUGCAUAGCCGACCUGAGAGGGUGAUCGGCCACACUGGAACUGAGACACGGUCCAGACUCCUACGGGAGGCAGCAGUAGGGAAUCUUCCGCAAUGGGCGAAAGCCUGACGGAGCAACGCCGCGUGAGUGAUGAAGGUCUUCGGAUCGUAAAACUCUGUUAUUAGGGAAGAACAUAUGUGUAAGUAACUGUGCACAUCUUGACGGUACCUAAUCAGAAAGCCACGGCUAACUACGUGCCAGCAGCCGCGGUAAUACGUAGGUGGCAAGCGUUAUCCGGAAUUAUUGGGCGUAAAGCGCGCGUAGGCGGUUUUUUAAGUCUGAUGUGAAAGCCCACGGCUCAACCGUGGAGGGUCAUUGGAAACUGGAAAACUUGAGUGCAGAAGAGGAAAGUGGAAUUCCAUGUGUAGCGGUGAAAUGCGCAGAGAUAUGGAGGAACACCAGUGGCGAAGGCGACUUUCUGGUCUGUAACUGACGCUGAUGUGCGAAAGCGUGGGGAUCAAACAGGAUUAGAUACCCUGGUAGUCCACGCCGUAAACGAUGAGUGCUAAGUGUUAGGGGGUUUCCGCCCCUUAGUGCUGCAGCUAACGCAUUAAGCACUCCGCCUGGGGAGUACGACCGCAAGGUUGAAACUCAAAGGAAUUGACGGGGACCCGCACAAGCGGUGGAGCAUGUGGUUUAAUUCGAAGCAACGCGAAGAACCUUACCAAAUCUUGACAUCCUUUGACAACUCUAGAGAUAGAGCCUUCCCCUUCGGGGGACAAAGUGACAGGUGGUGCAUGGUUGUCGUCAGCUCGUGUCGUGAGAUGUUGGGUUAAGUCCCGCAACGAGCGCAACCCUUAAGCUUAGUUGCCAUCAUUAAGUUGGGCACUCUAAGUUGACUGCCGGUGACAAACCGGAGGAAGGUGGGGAUGACGUCAAAUCAUCAUGCCCCUUAUGUUUUGGGCUACACACGUGCUACAAUGGACAAUACAAAGGGCAGCGAAACCGCGAGGUCAAGCAAAUCCCAUAAAGUUGUUCUCAGUUCGGAUUGUAGUCUGCAACUCGACUACAUGAAGCUGGAAUCGCUAGUAAUCGUAGAUCAGCAUGCUACGGUGAAUACGUUCCCGGGUCU